ACUCCUUUCCCAAUUUUGAACCAGUCUAUUGUUCCAUGUCUGGUUCUAACUGUUGCUUCUUGACUUGCAUGCAGGUUUCGCAGGAGACAGGUUAUUGGUGACUGUGUGCAAAUAAAGAAAGAACAUACACAGGACCUGAAACCUGAGCAAUUCCUGGGGCAGAGAAAAUCUGGAUCCCAAGGGUACACACCCACCCAAAACAGGAUUCCACUGGUUGAAUGUAUCCAUGACAGUAUGGCCCUUAAUUGCAGUAAGUAUAAUAUUCAUUGAUCCAAAUUCACUCUGGUGAAUGUUUUGAGUACUUUAGCAUUGCACUGAGUAUCUCCUAAUCCCCUACUUUUUGUCUCUGAGUUGUG
ensembl:lncRNA